rnacentral:rRNA from 1 species
AGAGUUUGAUCCUGGCUCAGAACGAACGCUGGCGGCGUGGAUAAGACAUGCAAGUCGAACGAGAGAAUUGCUAGCUUGCUAAUAAUUCUCUAGUGGCGCACGGGUGAGUAACACGUGAGUAACCUGCCCCCGAGAGCGGGAUAGCCCUGGGAAACUGGGAUUAAUACCGCAUAGUAUCGAAAGAUUAAAGCAGCAAUGCGCUUGGGGAUGGGCUCGCGGCCUAUUAGUUAGUUGGUGAGGUAACGGCUCACCAAGGCGAUGACGGGUAGCCGGUCUGAGAGGAUGUCCGGCCACACUGGAACUGAGACACGGUCCAGACACCUACGGGUGGCAGCAGUCGAGAAUCAUUCACAAUGGGGGAAACCCUGAUGGUGCGACGCCGCGUGGGGGAAUGAAGGUCUUCGGAUUGUAAACCCCUGUCAUGUGGGAGCAAAUUAAAAAGAUAGUACCACAAGAGGAAGAGACGGCUAACUCUGUGCCAGCAGCCGCGGUAAUACAGAGGUCUCAAGCGUUGUUCGGAAUCACUGGGCGUAAAGCGUGCGUAGGCUGUUUCGUAAGUCGUGUGUGAAAGGCGCGGGCUCAACCCGCGGACGGCACAUGAUACUGCGAGACUAGAGUAAUGGAGGGGGAACCGGAAUUCUCGGUGUAGCAGUGAAAUGCGUAGAUAUCGAGAGGAACACUCGUGGCGAAGGCGGGUUCCUGGACAUUAACUGACGCUGAGGCACGAAGGCCAGGGGAGCGAAAGGGAUUAGAUACCCCUGUAGUCCUGGCAGUAAACGGUGCACGCUUGGUGUGCGGGGAAUCGACCCCCUGCGUGCCGGAGCUAACGCGUUAAGCGUGCCGCCUGGGGAGUACGGUCGCAAGAUUAAAACUCAAAGAAAUUGACGGGGACCCGCACAAGCGGUGGAGUAUGUGGCUUAAUUCGAUGCAACGCGAAGAACCUUACCUGGGCUUGACAUGUAAUGAACAACAUGUGAAAGCAUGCGACUCUUCGGAGGCGUUACACAGGUGCUGCAUGGCCGUCGUCAGCUCGUGUCGUGAGGUGUUUGGUUAAGUCCAGCAACGAGCGCAACCCCUGUUGCCAGUUACCAGCACGUGAAGGUGGGGACUCUGGCGAGACUGCCCAGGUCAACUGGGAGGAAGGUGGGGACGACGUCAGGUCAGUAUGGCCCUUAUGCCCAGGGCUGCACACGUACUACAAUGCCCAGUACAGAGGGGGCCGAAGCCGCGAGGCGGAGGAAAUCCUAAAAACUGGGCCCAGUUCGGACUGUAGGCUGCAACCCGCCUACACGAAGCCGGAAUCGCUAGUAAUGGCGCAUCAGCUACGGCGCCGUGAAUACGUUCCCGGGUCUUGCACUCACCGCCCGUCA